rnacentral:rRNA from 1 species
GGAAUAUUGGACAAUGGGCGAAAGCCUGAUCCAGCAAUGCCGCGUGUGUGAAGAAGGCCUUCGGGUUGUAAAGCACUUUCAGUUGGGAAGAAAAGCCGGAGGUUAAUAGCCGCCGGUCUUGACGUUACAGACAGAAGAAGCACCGGCUAACUCUGUGCCAGCAGCCGCGGUAAUACAGAGGGUGCGAGCGUUAAUCGGAAUUACUGGGCGUAAAGGGCGCGUAGGCGGUUUGGUAAGUCGGAUGUGAAAGCCCUGGGCUUAACCUGGGAAUGCCAUUCGAUACUGCCUGACUCGAGUAUGGUAGAGGGAAGCGGAAUUCCGGGUGUAGCGGUGAAAUGCGUAGAGAUCCGGAGGAACACCAGUGGCGAAGGCGGCUUCCUGGACCAAUACUGACGCUGAGGCGCGAAAGCGUGGGGAGCAAAC